UACGAAGGGGGCUAGCGUUGUUCGGAUUUACUGGGCGUAAAGCGCACGUAGGCGGAUCGAUCAGUCAGGGGUGAAAUCCCAGAGCUCAACUCUGGAACUGCCUUUGAUACUGUCGAUCUGGAGUAUGGAAGAGGUGAGUGGAAUUCCGAGUGUAGAGGUGAAAUUCGUAGAUAUUCGGAGGAACACCAGUGGCGAAAGCGGCCACCUGGACUGCACCUGACGCUGACACGCGAAAGCUAGGGGAGCGAACGGG
rnacentral:rRNA from 1 species